AGCGGGGUGGAGAAGUGGCAUCUCGCGAGGCCCAUAACCUCGAGAUCCCGGGUUCGAAUCCUGGCCCCGCCACCA
rnacentral:tRNA from 2 species